rnacentral:tRNA from 1 species
GCAGGUAUAGCUCAGUGGUAGAGUGUGUGCUUAGCAUGCAUGAGGUCCUGGGUUCAAUCCUCAGUACCUCCA